rnacentral:rRNA from 1 species
UUAAGUUAUUAAGGGCGCACGGUGGAUGCCUUGGCACUAGAAGCCGAUGAAGGACGUUACUAACGACGAUAUGCUUUGGGGAGCUGUAAGUAAGCUUUGAUCCAGAGAUUUCCGAAUGGGGAAACCCAGCAUGAGUUAUGUCAUGUUAUCGAUAUGUGAAUACAUAGCAUAUCAGAAGGCACACCCGGAGAACUGAAACAUCUUAGUACCCGGAGGAAGAGAAAGAAAAUUCGAUUCCCUUAGUAGCGGCGAGCGAAACGGGAAGAGCCCAAACCAACAAGCUUGCUUGUUGGGGUUGUAGGACACUCUAUACGGAGUUACAAAGGACGACAUUAGACGAAUCAUCUGGAAAGAUGAAUCAAAGAAGGUAAUAAUCCUGUAGUCGAAAAUGUUGUCUCUCUUGAGUGGAUCCUGAGUACGACGGAGCACGUGAAAUUCCGUCGGAAUCUGGGAGGACCAUCUCCUAAGGCUAAAUACUCUCUAGUGACCGAUAGUGAACCAGUACCGUGAGGGAAAGGUGAAAAGCACCCCGGAAGGGGAGUGAAAUAGAACCUGAAACCGUGUGCUUACAAGUAGUCAGAGCCCGUUAAUGGGUGAUGGCGUGCCUUUUGUAGAAUGAACCGGCGAGUUACGAUUUGAUGCAAGGUUAAGCAGUAAAUGUGGAGCCGUAGCGAAAGCGAGUCUGAAUAGGGCGUUUAGUAUUUGGUCGUAGACCCGAAACCAGGUGAUCUACCCUUGGUCAGGUUGAAGUUCAGGUAACACUGAAUGGAGGACCGAACCGACUUACGUUGAAAAGUGAGCGGAUGAACUGAGGGUAGCGGAGAAAUUCCAAUCGAACCUGGAGAUAGCUGGUUCUCUCCGAAAUAGCUUUAGGGCUAGCCUCAAGUGAUGAUUAUUGGAGGUAGAGCACUGUUUGGACGAGGGGCCCCUCUCGGGUUACCGAAUUCAGACAAACUCCGAAUGCCAAUUAAUUUAACUUGGGAGUCAGAACAUGGGUGAUAAGGUCCGUGUUCGAAAGGGAAACAGCCCAGACCACCAGCUAAGGUCCCAAAAUAUAUGUUAAGUGGAAAAGGAUGUGGCGUUGCCCAGACAACUAGGAUGUUGGCUUAGAAGCAGCCAUCAUUUAAAGAGUGCGUAAUAGCUCACUAGUCGAGUGACACUGCGCCGAAAAUGUACCGGGGCUAAACAUAUUACCGAAGCUGUGGAUUGUCCUUUGGACAAUGGUAGGAGAGCGUUCUAAGGGCGUUGAAGCAUGAUCGUAAGNACAUGUGGAGCGCUUAGAAGUGAGAAUGCCGGUGUGAGUAGCGAAAGACGGGUGAGAAUCCCGUCCACCGAUUGACUAAGGUUUCCAGAGGAAGGCUCGUCCGCUCUGGGUUAGUCGGGUCCUAAGCUGAGGCCGACAGGCGUAGGCGAUGGAUAACAGGUUGAUAUUCCUGUACCACCUAUAAUCGUUUUAAUCGAUGGGGGGACGCAGUAGGAUAGGCGAAGCGUGCGAUUGGAUUGCACGUCUAAGCAGUAAGGCUGAGUAUUAGGCAAAUCCGGUACUCGUUAAGGCUGAGCUGUGAUGGGGAGAAGACAUUGUGUCUUCGAGUCGUUGAUUUCACACUGCCGAGAAAAGCCUCUAGAUAGAAAAUAGGUGCCCGUACCGCAAACCGACACAGGUAGUCAAGAUGAGAAUUCUAAGGUGAGCGAGCGAACUCUCGUUAAGGAACUCGGCAAAAUGACCCCGUAACUUCGGGAGAAGGGGUGCUCUUUAGGGUUAACGCCCAGAAGAGCCGCAGUGAAUAGGCCCAAGCGACUGUUUAUCAAAAACACAGGUCUCUGCUAAACCGUAAGGUGAUGUAUAGGGGCUGACGCCUGCCCGGUGCUGGAAGGUUAAGAGGAGUGGUUAGCUUCUGCGAAGCUACGAAUCGAAGCCCCAGUAAACGGCGGCCGUAACUAUAACGGUCCUAAGGUAGCGAAAUUCCUUGUCGGGUAAGUUCCGACCCGCACGAAAGGCGUAACGAUUUGGGCACUGUCUCAACGAGAGACUCGGUGAAAUCAUAGUACCUGUGAAGAUGCAGGUUACCCGCGACAGGACGGAAAGACCCCGUGGAGCUUUACUGUAGCCUGAUAUUGAAAUUCGGCACAGCUUGUACAGGAUAGGUAGGAGCCUUUGAAACGUGAGCGCUAGCUUACGUGGAGGCGCUGGUGGGAUACUACCCUAGCUGUGUUGGCUUUCUAACCCGCACCACUUAUCGUGGUGGGAGACAGUGUCAGGCGGGCAGUUUGACUGGGGCGGUCGCCUCCUAAAAGGUAACGGAGGCGCUCAAAGGUUCCCUCAGAAUGGUUGGAAAUCAUUCAUAGAGUGUAAAGGCAUAAGGGAGCUUGACUGCGAGACCUACAAGUCGAGCAGGGUCGAAAGACGGACUUAGUGAUCCGGUGGUUCCGCAUGGAAGGGCCAUCGCUCAACGGAUAAAAGCUACCCCGGGGAUAACAGGCUUAUCUCCCCCAAGAGUUCACAUCGACGGGGAGGUUUGGCACCUCGAUGUCGGCUCAUCGCAUCCUGGGGCUGUAGUCGGUCCCAAGGGUUGGGCUGUUCGCCCAUUAAAGCGGUACGCGAGCUGGGUUCAGAACGUCGUGAGACAGUUCGGUCCCUAUCCGUCGUGGGCGUAGGAAAUUUGAGAGGAGCUGUCCUUAGUACGAGAGGACCGGGAUGGACAUACCUCUGGUGUACCAGUUGUCGUGCCAACGGCAUAGCUGGGUAGCUAUGUGUGGACGGGAUAAGUGCUGAAAGCAUCUAAGCAUGAAGCCCCCCUCAAGAUGAGAUUUCCC